UUCCCCAAAAUCCUCUCAAAUUCUCCCAAAUUUCUCAUUUUCUCCCCCAAAAAGACCCCAAAUCCCCCAAAUUUUCCCCAAAAUCUCCCUGAAUUCCCACAAAUCCCCCACGUUCGGCCUCAAAUUCCCAAAAUUCUCCCAAAUUCCAACAUUUUUUUCCCAAAAUUCCCCAAAAUUUCCCCAAAAUUCCCCCAUUUUUCCCAAAAUUCCCCCAUUUUCCCCAAAAUUCCCCCAUUUUCCCCCAAAAUUCCCCCAUUUUUCCCCAAAAUCCCCCCAUUUUUCCCAAAUUCCCCCAUUUUCACCAAAAUUCCCCCAUUUUUCCCCCAAAUUCCCCCAUUUUUCCCAAAAUUCCCCCAUUUUUCCCCAAAAUUCCCCCAUUUUUCCCAAUUUCUCCCCAUUUUUCCCCCAAAUUCCCACAUUUUUCCCAAAUUCUCCCCCAUUUUUCCCAAAUUCUCCCCAUUUUUCCCAAAAUUCCCCCAUUUUUCCCCCAAAUUCUCCCCAUUUUUCCCAAAUUCUCCCCAUUUUCUCCCAAAUUCUCCCCAUUUUUCCCCAAAAUUCCCCCAUUUUCACCAAAAUUCCCCCAUUUUUCCCCAAAAUUCCCCAAUUUUUCCCAAAAUUCCCCCAUUUUUCCCAAAUUCUCCCCCAUUUUUUCCCAAAAUUCCCCCAUUUUUCCCCCAAAUUCCCCCAUUUUCCCCCAAAAUUCCCCCAUUUUUCCCCAAAAUUCCCCCAUUUUCCCCAAAAUUCCCCCCAUUUUUCCCAAAUUCUCCCCAUUUUUCCCAAAUUCUCCCCAUUUUUCCCCAAAAUUCCCCCAUUUCCCCCUCGUUUUCCACGAAUUCCCCACAUUUCGGCCCAAAAUUCCCAAAAUUCCUGCAGAUUCCCUGGAAUUUUUUCCCCAUUUCCCCCAGAAUUCCCUCCAAUCACCCCCAAAUUUUCCCAAAUCCCUUCAAAUUCUCCCAAAUCCCCCCAAAAAUUCCCCAAAUUCCUUCCAUUCCCACAAAUUCCACCCCGAAUUUCCCAAAUUCCUGCGGAUUUUCUCCCAAAUUUCACCAGAAUUCCCUAAAAAAAAAUCCCCAAAAUUUUUCCCGAAUCCCCCCCCCUCGAAAAACUCGGAUUUUUUUUCCUAAAUCCCGGAUUUUUUUCCUAAAUCCAGGAUUUUUUUCCUAAAUCCAGGAUUUUUUUCCCCAAAAUCCUUCGGAUUUUAAAUCCGCCGUGGGGGGGGGAGGGGAUAAAUAAAAAUAUUAUUUAUUAAAAAUAAAUCCA
rnacentral:lncRNA from 1 species